GCGUCAGUGGUUUAGUGGUAAAAUCCAUCGUUGCCAUCUCUUGUUCUUUGGAAUGAUAGGGUCAACUUCGAUGGGCCCCGCGUUCGAUUCGCGGCUGACGCA